GAUGAACGCUGGCGGCGUGCCUAAUACAUGCAAGUCGAGCGAACAGACGAGGAGCUUGCUCCUCUGACGUUAGCGGCGGACGGGUGAGUAACACGUGGAUAACCUACCUAUAAGACUGGGAUAACUUCGGGAAACCGGAGCUAAUACCGGAUAAUAUAUUGAACCGCAUGGUUCAAUAGUGAAAGACGGUUUUGCUGUCACUUAUAGAUGGAUCCGCGCCGCAUUAGCUAGUUGGUAAGGUAACGGCUUACCAAGGCAACGAUGCGUAACCGACCUGAGAGGGUGAUCGGCCACACUGGAACUGAGACACGGUCCAGACUCCUACGGGAGGCAGCAGUAGGGAAUCUUCCGCAAUGGGCGAAAGCCUGACGGAGCAACGCCGCGUGAGUGAUGAAGGUCUUCGGAUCGUAAAACUCGGUUAUUAGGGAAGAACAAAUGUGUAAGUAACUAUGCACGUCUUGACGGUACCUAAUCAGAAAGCCACGGCUAACUACGUG
rnacentral:rRNA from 1 species